ensembl:lncRNA
AUGAUUUGGAAACAUAGAGUGUCAUUUAAAUUGUAUUUAAUAUAUUUAUACUUUGCAUCUCCCAAAUUUGCAGUUUUACUUGUGGAGGGAAUUUGGGCCAAUCUAAUGUGCACUGUGUCAGUGUACCAGAAUCAGUCUGUUGCUUAUAUCAUCUCUGGACCUCCACCAGCACCUGGCUGCUUACCCGAAUGGACCGCUGCUAAUAUCAUGCUGGUUGAUGAGAAGGGGAAUAUUUACCAUCAAGUGGUCUUGCAUGCUGAACCACAAAGGAUUCUCACCAAAGGCUGUCAACAUGAUGUUGCAUACCGUCUAGAAUGUUUGGCACUUAGGGUAGGUGAUUGAUUAAUUGAUGACUUACGUAACUACAGGCAAAACAGGCUGAAUGUGGUAAGAUAUGCUGUUAGUGCUAGCUUAUUUGAUGCAUAUACUAAUUCCACAUGGCAAUAUCUGAAGAACUUUUCAGUCUAAACUCCUAACUUUUGAUGUCUAAAUGUACCAAAUUGUCCGUCAUAGGAGUUCUUGGUGGUCAACUGUAAUUGUAAGUAGUACUGCUUCCUUUUUUGAUCUACAUUGGCUUUGAGUUAUUUUUAGCACUACUUUCUGAGUACUUGCUAAAUUAAUAAUGUUAUUUCAUUUAAUGACAUUUUUAGUGUAUGUAAAAUGUGCAAGAACUUUUUUCCCCAGAUAAGUGUCCAACUGUACCUGUUGCAAUGGUCGCAGAAGGUGAGAGGCUUGUGUGAAUUUUUUUUUCUUUUAUUCAUUCAUUUUCUUGAACACUGUCGCUUACACAUACAUGCAUACAUUCAUAGACUCAGCUGUGGCGAUGCUCCCAGGUGCAGGCAGAACUCAUGUUAUGACGUAUGCUGUCAUUGGUAUUGCUGUGCUACUUGGCUUUGUUAUCAUGACAGUCAUUUACUAGUACAGACAUCUAAGGUAUCAAUCAUGACUUUACAUGGCCUUCUUUUUAGUCAGACUAAAUGUUGACUGUUUUUCUUUUCUUUUUUUUUUUCAGGGAAUCAGGUGCUGUUUAAAAACAAAUUGAUUUACUUUGUAGGACAGAGAAUCUACAGACACUUCAGCCAGUGCUGACAGUAUCUCACUACUGGUGUGUUGGACUCUUUUGAUCCUUCAGAAAUAAGUUUCCUCAUUUUCUGCCAUGGGUGCUAAAAUGAACAAGGGAGUGGUACAUAAUACACAAAUCUGGCCUGGAGGAAAGGAGGGAUGUGACAGUUUGGAGCCAUCUAUGUUCCCACAACAGACAAUCUGUAACUUGUAGCUACCCUAUUUGUAGCUAUCCUACAAAUACAUUUACAUAUUUUUGUGCUUAAUAAAAAUACUUUGCCAUUGUACUUGUGGUAUACU